GGGUUGGAGUUAGGGUUAGUGUUGGAGCUAGGGUUAGGGUUGGGCUUGGAGCUAGGAUUUUUCUGAGUGCAAUGAACCAACUCCCGAGUCUCUAGGACGUUCCUAAAAAAAUUUGAUUUUUUCCCAUAGGAAUGCAUGGGUUAGGGUUAGGGUUAGGGUUGGAGCUAGGGUUAGGGUUAGGGUUAGGGUUGGAGUUAGGGUUAGUGUUGGAGCUAGGGUUAGGGUUGGGCUUGGAGCUAGGAUUUUUCUGAGUGCACUGAACCAACUCCCGAGUCUCUAGGACAUUCCUAAAAAAAUUUGAUUUUUCCCAUAGGAAUGCAUGGGUUAGGGUUAUUUAGGGUUAGGGUUGGAGCUAGGGUUAGGGUUAGGGUUAGGGUUGGAGUUAGGGUUAGUGUUGGAGCUAGGGUUAGGGUUGGGCUUGGAGCUAGGAUUUUUCUGAGUGCAAUGAACCAACUCCCGAGUCUCUAGGACGUUCCUAAAAAAAUUGAUUUUUUCCCAUAGGAAUGCAUGGGUUAGGGUUAGGGUUAGGGUUGGAGCUAGGGUUAGGGUUAGGGUUAGGGUUGGAUUUAGGGUUAGUUUUGGAGCUAGGGUUAGGGUUGGGCUUGGAGCUAGGAUUUUUCUGAGUGCACUGAACCAACUCCCGAGUCUCUAGGACAUUCCUAAAAAAAAUUGAUUUUUUCCCAUAGGAAUGCAUGGUUUAGGGUUAUGGUUAGGGUUAGGGUUGGAGCUAGGGUUAGGGUUAGGGUUAGGGUUGGAGUUAGGGUUAGUGUUGGAGCUAGGGUUAGGGUUGGGCUUGGAGCUAGGAUUUUUCUGAGUGCACUGAACCAACUCCCGAGUCUCUAGGACAUUCCUAAAAAAAAUUGAUUUUUUUCCCAUAGGAAUGCAUGGGUUAGGGUUAUGGUUAGGGUUAGGGUUGGAGCUAGGGUUAGGGUUAGGGUUAGGGUUGGAGUUAGGGUUAGUGUUGGAGCUAGGGUUAGGGUUGGGCUUGGAGCUAGGAUUUUUCUGAGUGCAAUGAACCAACUCCCGAGUCUCUUGGACGUACCUAAAAAAAAUUGAUUUUUUCCCAUAGGAAUGCAUGGGUUAGGGUUAGGGUUAGGGUUGGAGCUAGGGUUAGGGUUAGGGAUAGGGUUGGAGUUAGGGUUAGUGUUGGAGCUAGGGUUAGGGUUGGGCUUGGAGCUAGGAUUUUUCUGAGUGCAAUGAACCAACUCCCGAGUCUCUAGGACGUUCCUAAAAAAAUUUGAUUUUUUCCCAUAGGAAUGCAUGGGUUAGGGUUAGGGUUAGGGUUGGAGCUAGGGUUACGGUUAGGGUUAGGGUUGGAGUUAGGGUUAGUGUUGGAGCUAGGGUUAGUGUUGGGCUUGGAGCUAGGACUUUUCUGAGUGCAAUGAACCAACUCCCGAGUCUCUAGGACGUUCCCUAAAAAAAAUUGAUUUUUUCCCAUAGGAAUGCAUGGGUUAGGGUUAGGGUUAGGGUUGGAGCUAGGGUUAGGGUUAGGGAUAGGGUUGGAGUUAGGGUUAGUGUUGGAGCUAGGGUUAGGGUUGGGCUUGGAGCUAGGAUUUUUCUGAGUGCAAUGAACCAACUC
rnacentral:lncRNA from 1 species